GACGAACGCUGGCGGCGUGCUUAACACAUGCAAGUCGAACGAAGAGCGAUGGAAGCUUGCUUCUAUCAAUCUUAGUGGCGAACGGGUGAGUAACGCGUAAUCAACCUGCCCUUCAGAGGGGGACAACAGUUGGAAACGACUGCUCAUACCGCAUACGAUCUAACCUUGGCAUCGAGGAUAGAUGAAAGGUGGCCUCUACAUGUAAGCUAUCACUGAAGGAGGGGAUUGCGUCUGAUUAGCUAGAUGGAGGGGUAACGGCCCACCAAGGCGAUGAUCAGUAGCCGGUCUGAGAGGAUGAACGGCCACAUUGGGACUGAGACACGGCCCAGACUCCUACGGGAGGCAGCAGUGGGGAAUCUUCCGCAAGGGGCGAAAGUCUGACGGAGCAACGCCGCGGGAGUGAGGACGGCCUUCGGGUUGGAAAGCUCUGUUAAUCGGGACGAAAGGCCUUCUUGCGAAUAGUUAGAGGGAUUGACGGUACCGGAAGAGAAAGCCACGGCUAACUACGUG
rnacentral:rRNA from 1 species